rnacentral:rRNA from 1 species
GAACGCUGGCGGCAUGCCUUACACAUGCAAGUCGAACGGCAGCACGGGGGCAACCCUGGUGGCGAGUGGCGAACGGGUGAGUAAUAUAUCGGAACGUGCCCUGGAGUGGGGGAUAACGCAGCGAAAGUUGCGCUAAUACCGCAUACGAUCUACGGAUGAAAGUGGGGGAUUCGCAAGAACCUCAUGCUCGUGGAGCGGCCGAUAUCUGAUUAGCUAGUUGGUAGGGUAAAAGCCUACCAAGGCAUCGAUCAGUAGCUGGUCUGAGAGGACGACCAGCCACACUGGAACUGAGACACGGUCCAGACUCCUACGGGAGGCAGCAGUGGGGAAUUUUGGACAAUGGGGGCAACCCUGAUCCAGCAAUGCCGCGUGAGUGAAGAAGGCCUUCGGGUUGUAAAGCUCUUUUGUCGGGGAAGAAACGGUACGCCUUAAUACGGUGUGCUAAUGACGGUACCCGAAGAAUAAGCACCGGCUAACUACGUGCCAGCAGCCGCGGUAAUACGUAGGGUGCAAGCGUUAAUCGGAAUUACUGGGCGUAAAGCGUGCGCAGGCGGUUAUGUAAGACAGAUGUGAAAUGCCCGGGCUCAACCUGGGAACUGCAUUUGUGACUGCAUGGCUAGAGUGUGUCAGAGGGGGGUAGAAUUCCACGUGUAGCAGUGAAAUGCGUAGAGAUGUGGAGGAAUACCGAUGGCGAAGGCAGCCCCCUGGGAUAACACUGACGCUCAUGCACGAAAGCGUGGGGGGCAAACAGGAUUAGAUACCCUGGUAGUCCACGCCCUAAACGAUGUCUACUAGUUGUCGGGUCUUAAUUGACUUGGUAACGCAGCUAACGCGUGAAGUAGACCGCCUGGGGGAGUACGGUCGCAAGAUUAAAACUUCAAAGGAAUUGACCGGGACC